rnacentral:rRNA from 1 species
UACAGAGGUCUCAAGCGUUGUUCGGAUUCAUUGGAGCGUAAAGGGUGCGUAGGUGGCGCGUUAAGUCAGGUGUGAAAUUUCGGAGCUUAACUCCGAAACUGCAUUUGAUACUGCGGUGCUUGAGGACUGGAGAGGAGACUGGAAUUCACGGUGUAGCAGUGAAAUGCGUAGAUAUCGUGAGGAAGACCAGUGGCGAAGGCGGGUCUCUGGACAGUUCCUGACACUGAGGCACGAAGGCCAGGGGAGCAAACGGG